ACUUUAUGAUAAGGACAUUUACACAGGAGAUCCCUAAAGCACUCCCAUGUCUCGAAAAUUUAUUCCCCAUCUAUCUAUGAGAAACUAGUGAUUUCCUUCCUUAGCU